GCUAUACUACCCUAAAUGCACCCAAUCUCAUCUGAUCUCGAAAGCUAAGAAGGGUUGGGCCUGCUUUGUACUUUGAAGAGAGGAAUAAAUUUUCAAAAAUAAACUUAACUGAGUAUUUCAAGUGAGUG
rnacentral:rRNA from 1 species